rnacentral:misc_RNA from 1 species
CGCACAUUGCGCCCUUUGGUAUUCCGAAGGGCAUGCCUGUUCGAGCGUCAUUAUCACCUCUCAAGCCUGGCUUGCUGUUGGACUUUAGGUAUUGUUUAGGCAUAACCGGUCUCAAAGAUAAUGACGGCGUCUGUGAAGACCCUAGUACACUGAGCUAUUUAUUUGGCACGUAUUAGAGGGAGUCCAGGCCCGGUCUUACUUAUAUUUUUCUUAAGGUUGACCUCGGAUCAGGUAGGAAUACCCGCUGAACUUAA